rnacentral:lncRNA from 1 species
GUCUGAUUCCUUACGCGUGGUUAGCUUGCUUGGUUUGUGGAGUAACUUAUGCUUGAGCAGAUAAAAAUAUUUAGUUUAGUCCAAAUUGAAAAUGAUUGGAGUCUCUGCGAGGUUUGGCCUAAGCUAUUUGCAAAUGUGCUUAAGUGAAAAUAGUGGCUAUUUUUAAAAUAAAGAGCAUUGGUUUACUUUCACUAGUUGGAGGUCUUGAUGAUUUUGCAGUUACGGAUUAGUUGAGUUAGAACUCGUGGUCAAUAAUAUUUCCAUAGUGUCUUUUUACGCUUGAUUAUAUUAUUGCUUGAAUUAUAUACCCUUUUAGUACUUACACAACCAGUAUUAAGUAUUGAUGCAACAAGAUACUAUAUACUUGGUUGCAUUCUCAAAAAGUGGGGAUUAUCGUCUUCAUAAAAGAAUUAUAUGCUUGCAUGAUUUUACCCUAUGACAAGUGUAAGCUUGAUUUGUGUAAUAGCUGAAAUUCUUUGCGUGGACACAAUCGAAUUGCAACAAUUGACUUUAUUUUUGUUUAUUUAGCUAACAUUCCCUAUGGGGCUCAGAUGAUAUGAAAUGUUUGAAGUUAGCUUAGCCUUGUGGGCUAUUGUCUUUGUGCAUUUUGUUAGUGUUAUUUUUACUAGUCCAUUAUGUAUCAGCCCUUGAGUAUAAUAAACAUGAAUUUCCUGCUUUCCCUUAUGUGUUUUACUUUAUGGUGCAGAUGGUUGCUUUUGUACGUGGAAUAAAUCAUUUCGAGACUCAAUCCUCAUCAAACAAAAAAACUUGGUGAAAGUCCUGGAAUUUUUGCCUGUAAUUGUUGGAGAAUUGUUUCAGGGAUGAAAGUGGUCGGUGAAUACUAGCUUUCAAGCUUCUUCUUCUUCCUUUUUUUUUUUUCGAGGGGUAAAACCUGGUAAAAGCCCUUUGUAAAAGUUCCAAUCUCGAUUAAUCAAUUGUCACAUGGCUAACCUAGAGAUUCAUGACCAUAUUUUGUAACCAAUUCAAGUUUUUUGUGUCUCAUAUCAAACCCAUUUAUAUUGUAAUUGUGAGAUGAAUUACACUAGUUGAAGAAUUUAGAGAAGAAGAACAAAG